rnacentral:ncRNA from 2 species
GAUUGAACCAACAAAAAUAUCUAUAUAAAGUCGUAACAUGGUCGAGAGUUUCUACCCAUUACCCUAAAUAAUGGACUAUAGGUGAUUGAAAGUUAAAA